GGGGCGAAAGACUAAUCGAACCAUCUAGUAGCUGGUUCCCUCCGAAGUUUCCCUCAGGAUAGCUGGCGCUCUCGCAGACGGACAAGACCCACGCAGUUUU
rnacentral:rRNA from 1 species